AUCGUAAAACCUUCAGAAGGAAAGAAUGUUGUGGACCAUUUUUUUUGUGUGUGGCAGUUUUAAGUU
rfam:Chelonia mydas contig97361, whole genome shotgun sequence.